GAUAAACUACAAACAUAAAUUUAUUGCUAGUGGAAUAAAUGUGCAGGUCAACCUGCGGGCCUACUUCGGGUUGGAUACCAAGUAAUUGGUUGCGUUACUGGAACGUCUCGUUGACCAAGUGCAUGGCCCACAAUCUGAAGACCAACUAUGGCCAUGAUUAUAGCUGAUAAGAACUUCAUCUUGAACUAACUUGUAGAAGCAUUACAGUGAUAUUUAUAACAAAAUAAAAGUUUUCAGUAGAGGGUAGAACUAAAGGCAAAAGCAAUUCGCAUUAGUCUCACUUAUGCAAUUAAAGAAAAUUUAGUUAUUUCCUAUAUAUGUUGGCUAAAAGUCUGUCUAAUCCGCAUUUGCUGCAAAGGCUUUUCCUUUGCCCAUUUUAGCGACUAAUUUUGAACCCACUAAAGCAACUUUAGCAAAUAAUAUUAUAAUUAUAAUUGAAUAUUUAAGGCCCUUGAGGUCAAAUUUGCAGUCAAAAAAUAUGUAAAGGUUUUCAUUUACACGAUGCAGUGAUACAUUUUUUAUGCAAUUCAAAAACGGGGUUGGGCGCUGGUAUUUUGCGUUUUAAACCAAUAUUUGGAUGGGGGUCCAACAUCCCGCUGUCCAAGUGAAUUGCCCACAAUCUGAAGACCGACUAUGACCAGAAUUAUGGCUGAUAAGAACUGCAUCUCGUACUAACUUAUUAAAGAAAUACAAUUUUAUAUAUAUUUAUAGGAAAACAAAGUUUUUUUUCCGAUAAGUUGAACUAAUUUCAAAGUUAUUUUCUUAUUACAUUAGUCAUGUUUACUUCAUUAUUAUUUAAAACACACGUUUAAAUUUAAACUAACUUUUGAUAGAAAAUAUAUAUGUACAUAUAUGUUGUAAGGCUUCUAUCAAAAUGAAUCAAGGCAACAAAAAAGGGGAAUAAAAAUGAAUGGAAAUGGAUGCAAAAGCUUUAGUCCAAUUCCAUGUCGAAUAAAUUUUAA